AGUACCAUCACUAGGCCAGAAUGCCAUAGUGUGUCAUCCUCUCAAGUCAGCUCAAGGAGUGUUUGCUGGUUUUGGUAGAAGAAUGUCAUCAUUUAUAUUUGGAGCUACCCCAUCACAGACGACCGGAGCUCCAUUACAAGCUGUAGUAUCAGG